AUCUAGCCCCGAUAGAAGUGGAAAUCCCUUUGUGUUUUGUUUCUUUAACGAGACACAAAAGAUUGCAACGGAUAGCGGGACUAAAC
rnacentral:sRNA from 1 species